UCCGGCUCUACGCCGGCAGUCUCUCUAGAGUCCCCGCCAUUACGCGCUGGCAACUAAAGACGGGGGUUGCGCUCGUUGCGGGACUUAACCCAACACCUCAGUACCACGUGCAUGUCAAGCCGAGGUAAGGUUCUGCGCGUUGCAUCGAAUUAAACCACACGCUCCGCUGCUUGUGCGGGCCCCCGUCAAUUCCUUUGAGUUUUAGCCUUGCGGCCGUAGUCCCCAGGCGGUCGACUUAAUGCGUUAGCUGCGGCGCCGAGGGGGUCGAUACCCCCGACACCUAGUCGACAUCGUUUACGGCGUGGACUAC
rnacentral:misc_RNA from 1 species